rnacentral:piRNA from 1 species
GGAACGUAGGAAGAGAGCCUCAGAUA